rnacentral:rRNA from 1 species
GACGAACGCUGGCGGCGUGCCUAAUACAUGCAAGUCGAACGCUUCUUUCCUCCCGAGUGCUUGCCCUCAAUUGGAAAGAGGAGUGGCGGACGGGUGAGUAACACGUGGGUAACCUACCCAUCAGAGGGGGAUAACACUUGGAAACAGGUGCUAAUACCGCAUAACAGUUUAUGCCGCAUGGCAUAAGAGUGAAAGGCGCUUUCGGGUGUCGCUGAUGGAUGGACCCGCGAUGCAUUAGCUAGUUGGUGAGGUAACGGCUCACCAAGGCCACGAUGCAUAGCCGACCUGAGAGGGUGAUCGGCCACACUGGGACUGAGACACGGCCCAGACUCCUACGGGAGGCAGCAGUAGGGAAUCUUCGGCAAUGGACGAAAGUCUGACCGAGCAACGCCGCGUGAGUGAAGAAGGUUUUCGGAUCGUAAAACUCUGUUGUUAGAGAAGAACAAGGACGUUAGUAACUGAACGUCCCCUGACGGUAUCUAACCAGAAAGCCACGGCUAACUACGUG